rnacentral:rRNA from 1 species
CAGGCCUAACACAUGCAAGUCGAACGGAAAGGCCCGCUUGCGGGUACUCGAGUGGCGAACGGGUGAGUAACACGUGGGCAACCUGCCCUCAGCUCUGGGAUAACCCCCGGAAACGGGAGCUAAUACCGGAUAUCGAUCUCUUACUGCAUGGCAGGAGAUCUAAAGUUUUUCGGCUGAGGAUGGGCCCGCGGCCUAUCAGCUUGUUGGUGGGGUAAUGGCCUACCAAGGCGACGACGGGUAGCCGGCCUGAGAGGGCGACCGGCCACACUGGAACUGAGACACGGUCCAGACUCCUACGGGAGGCAGCAGUGGGGAAUAUUGCGCAAUGGGCGAAAGCCUGACGCAGCGACGCCGCGUGAGGGAUGACGGCCUUCGGGUUGUAAACCUCUUUCGACAGGGACGAAUAUGACGGUACCUGUAGAAGAAGCACCGGCUAACUACGUGCCAGCAGCCGCGGUAAU